rnacentral:rRNA from 1 species
CUACGGGUGGCUCCAGUGAGGAAUAUUGCACAAUGGGGGGAACCCUGAUGCAGCAACGCCGCGUGGAGGAUGACGCAUUUCGGUGUGUAAACUCCUUUUAUAUGUCAAGAAAAUGACGGUAGCAUAUGAAUAAGCACCGGCUAACUCCGUGCCAGCAGCCGCGGUAAUACGGAGGGUGCAAGCGUUACUCGGAAUCACUGGGCGUAAAGGACGCGUAGGCGGGUUGGAAAGUCAGGUGUGAAAUCCUACAGCUUAACUGUAGAACUGCACUUGAAACUUCUAAUCUAGAGUAUAGGAGGGGGAGAUGGAAUUAGUGGUGUAGGGGUAAAAACCGUAGAUAUCACUAGGAAUACCUAAAGCGAAGGCGAUCUCCUGGAACAUUACUGACGCUAAGGCGUGAAAGCGUGGGGAGCAAACAGGAUUAGAUACCCCAGUAGUC